GACGAACGCUGGCGGCGUGCUUAACACAUGCAAGUCGAACGGGAGUAUUGAAGAAGCUUGCUUUAGAGAUACUUUAGUGGCGGACGGGUGAGUAACGCGUGAGGAGCUGUCCUAUGCAGGGGGACAACAGCUGGAAACGGCUGCUAAUACCCCAUAAGCCGAGAGGUAAAAGGAUCAAUCCGGCAGAGGAGGUACUCGCGUCCUAUCAGCUAGUAGGUGAGGUAACGGCUCACCUAGGCGAAGACGGGUAGCCGGCCUGAGAGGGCGAACGGCCACACUGGAACUGAGAUACGGUCCAGACUCCUACGGGAGGCAGCAGUGGGGAAUAUUGGGCAAUGGGGGAAACCCUGACCCAUCGACGCCGCGUGGGUGAAGAAAUCCUUCGGGAUGUAAAGCCCUGUUGUAUGGGAAGAGCGGAAGACGGUACCAUACGAGGAAGCCCCGGCAAACUACGUGCCAGCAGCCGCGGUAAUACCUAUGGGGCAAGCGUUGUCCGGAAUUACUGGGCGU
rnacentral:rRNA from 1 species